AGACUGGGUGCCUGUGGCCCUGGGAGGAGGUGGAAGGGGAGGAGCAGGCCACACAGGCACAGGCCGGUGAGGGACCUGCCCAGACCUGGAGGGUCUCGCUCUGUCACACAGGCUGGAGUGCAGUGGUGUGAUCUUGGCUCAUCGUAACCUCCACCUCCCGGGUUCAAGUGAUUCUCAUGCCUCAGCCUCCCGAGUAGCUGCGAUUACAGGUGGUGACUUCCAAGAGUGACUCCGUCGGAGGAAAAUGACUGCCCAGUCGCUGCUGCAGACGACACUGUUCCUGCUGAGUCUGCUCUUCCUGGUCCAAGCCAGCGGAACCAGACACACAGGAGCAGCCUCCACUACAAACCCACACCAGACCUGCGCAUCUCCAUCGAGAACUCCGAAGAGGCCCUCACAGUCCAUGCCCCUUUCCCUGCAGCCCACCCUGCUUCCCAAUCCUUCCCUGACCCCAGGGGCCUCUACCACUUCUGCCUCUACUGGAACCGACAUGCUGGGAGAUUACAUCUUCUCUAUGGGAAGCGUGACUUCUU
rnacentral:sRNA from 1 species